CCCAUCAUAGCCCACCUGGACCUGUCCCCUCGCCUCUGCCCUCGUCUCUGCCCUCGUCUCUGGACUCUCUCCGUCACAACAAAAUCUGCAGAGACAUCACUGGAUCUGUGCGCAAGGUACCGAGUUCGAUCCCCAGUACCAAAAAAAAGAAGUAUUUAGCCCAUGUUUGCAGUACGAAACAACCGCAUUCAUCCUGGGGAGUCAGCCCAUGGACAUAACCCAUCUUAACUCUUUUUUUGCUCCCUUCCCCUCCCUCUAUCUCUUGAUCCCUUUUCUUUUUCCUUUUUUUUUUGGUACCAGGGAUCGAACUCGGGUCCUUGCGCUUGCGCAGCAGGCGGCGAAACCACUGAGCUAAAUCCCCAGCUCCUUGAUCCCUUUUCCUGUUGCAAAAGAUCUAUCUCCCUCUUUCCUAUAUCUACUUUUUAUUUUGCUCUUUCUUUAUGUUCCGAGUUUCCUAUAUAAGAGAAACCACAUGACAUUUAAGCUUGUGUGUCUGAUUAUUUCACUUAACAUUAUGGUUUCAAGGUGCAUCCAUUUUUCUACGGAUGACUCAAAUUUAUCCUUCUUUAUGGUAGAAAAAAUGUUUUAUGGUCUGGCUUUAUUUUUAGGUUUCUGAUCCUCCUGGCAUCAAUUUUGGUCUCUGGUGUGAGGCAUGGGCUCAGAUUACUUUGGCUAUUGUUAUUGUAAAUGCAAUCCAAUUUU
rnacentral:lncRNA from 1 species